UGCCAGACUCCUACGGGAGGCAGCAGUCGGGAAUAUUGCGCAAUGGAGGAAACUCUGACGCAGUGACGCCGCGUAUAGGAAGAAGGUUUUCGGAUUGUAAACUAUUGUCGUUAGGGAAGAUAAAAGACAGUACCUAAGGAGGAAGCUCCGGCUAACUACGUGCCAGCAGCCGCGGUAAUACGUAGGGAGCAAGCGUUAUCCGGAUUUAUUGGGUGUAAAGGGUGCGUAGGCGGGGACGCAAGUCAGAUGUGAAAACCACGGGCUCAACCUGUGGCCUGCAUUUGAAACUGUGUUUCUUGAGUACUGGAGAGGCAGACGGAAUUCCUAGUGUAGCGGUGAAAUGCGUAGAUAUUAGGAGGAACACCAGUGGCGAAGGCGGUCUGCUGGACAGCAACUGACGCUGAGGCGCGAAAGCGUGGGGAGCAAACAGGAUUAGAUACCCCCGUAA
rnacentral:rRNA from 1 species